ACUUUCAACAAUGGAUCUCUUGGUUCCCGCAUCGAUGAAGAACGCAGCGAAAUGCGAUAACUAAUGUGAAUUGCAGAAUUCCGUGAAUCAUCGAGUCUUUGAACGCACAUUGCGCCCCCUGGCAUUCCGGGGGGCAUGCCUGUCCGAGCGUCAUU
rnacentral:rRNA from 1 species